rnacentral:tRNA from 1 species
GCUUUGUUAGUUAAAUGGUAUAACGGUUGACUCGUAAUCAAUUGUCAUGAGUUCGAUUCUCAUACAAAGCACCA